rnacentral:rRNA from 1 species
AAGUCGAGCGGAAACGACUUAACUGAACCUUCGGGGAACGUUAAGGGCGUCGAGCGGCGGACGGGUGAGUAAUGCCUAGGAAAUUGCCCUGAUGUGGGGGAUAACCAUUGGAAACGAUGGCUAAUACCGCAUGAUGCCUACGGGCCAAAGAGGGGGACCUUCGGGCCUCUCGCGUCAGGAUAUGCCUAGGUGGGAUUAGCUAGUUGGUGAGGUAAUGGCUCACCAAGGCGACGAUCCCUAGCUGGUCUGAGAGGAUGAUCAGCCACACUGGAACUGAGACACGGUCCAGACUCCUACGGGAGGCAGCAGUGGGGAAUAUUGCACAAUGGGCGCAAGCCUGAUGCAGCCAUGCCGCGUGUGUGAAGAAGGACUUCGGGUUGUAAAGCACCUUUUUAGUCGUGAGGAAGGUAGUGUAGUUAAUAGCUGCAUUAUUUGACGUUAGCGACAGAAUAAGCACCGGCUAACUCGGUGGCAGCAAGCGGGGUAAGACGGAGGGUGGGAGCGUUAUUUGGAAUUAGUGGGCGUAAAGGGCAUG